AGGCAAGCGUUAUCCGGAAUGACUGGGCGUAAAGGGUGCGUAGGUGGUUUGACAAGUUGGUAGCGUAACUCCGAGGCUUAACCUCGGCACUACUACCAAAACUGUUGGACUCGAGUGCAGGAGGGGCAAAUGGAAUUCCUAGUGUAGCGGUGGAAUGCGUAGAUAUUAGGAGGAACACCAGUGGCGAAGGCGAUUUGCUGGACUGUAACUGACACUGAGGCACGAAAGCGUGGGGAGCAAACA
rnacentral:rRNA from 1 species